rnacentral:misc_RNA from 1 species
GACAAGUUGGAGGAUGAUUAUGUGAAAAUCCCGCAGAAAUGGUCUGAGAAAGGCUUACCCAUGUUCAUAUUAUGGAAUGGUCCACUGUGUACUAUAUGUGAUAUAGCAAACCUUCUAUUCCUAUGCUUCUACUAUUAUGCGAACAACAAUGGAUCUUAUGACAAAUUCUUCCAUUCUGCAUGGUUCAUUGAAGGGCUUCUGAUGCAAACUCUAAUUUUCCACUUAAUCCGGAC